CUACGGGCCGCUGCAGUCGAGGAAAUUUUACAAUGCUCGAAAGAGUGAUAAAAUAAGCCAGAGUGUUUCUCCUAGAGAAGCUUUUGUCUACUGUAAAAAGGUAGACGAAUAAGGACUGGGCAAGACCGGUGCCAGCCGCCGCGGUAAUACCGGCGGUCCGAGUUGCAUCCACAUUUAUUGGGUCUAAAACAUUCGUAGCUUGUUUUACAAGUCUCUUGUGAAAUCUCAUAUCUCAAGUAUGAGGCGUGCAAGAGAUACUGUAUGACUAGAGACCGGGAGACGCAAAGAGUACGAUUAAGGUAACGGUAAAAUGUGUUAAUCUUAAUUGGACUAACAAUGGCGAAGGCACUUUGCGAGUACGGAUCUGACAGUAAGGGAUGAAGGCUAGGGGCGCAAAAGGGAUUAGAUACCCGCGUAGUC
rnacentral:rRNA from 1 species